GAUGAACGCUGGCGGCGUGCCUAGUACAUGCAAGUCGAGCGAACAGACGAGGAGCUUGCUCCUCUGACGUUAGCGGCGGACGGGUGAGUAACACGUGGAUAACCUACCUAUAAGACUGGGAUAACUUCGGGAAACCGGAGCUAAUACCGGAUAAUAUAUUGAACCGCAUGGUUCAAUAGUGAAAGACGGUUUUGCUGUCACUUAUAGAUGGAUCCGCGCCGCAUUAGCUAGUUGGUAAGGUAACGGCUUACCAAGGCAACGAUGCGUAGCCGACCUGAGAGGGUGAUCGGCCACACUGGAGCUGAGACACGGUCCAGACUCCUACGGGAGGCAGCAGUAGGGAAUCGUCCGCAAUGGGCGAAAGCCUGACGGAGCAACGCCGCGUGAGUGAUGAAGGUCUUCGGAUCGUAAAACUCUGUUAUUAGGGAAGAACAAAUGUGUAAGUAACUAUGCACGUCUUGACGGUACCUAAUCAGAAAGCCACGGCUAACUACGUG
rnacentral:rRNA from 1 species